CCUACGGGCGGCAGCAGUGAGGAAUAUUGGUCAAUGGGCGCUAGCCUGAACCAGCCAAGUAGCGUGAAGGAUGACGGCCCUAUGGGUUGUAAACUUCUUUUGCAGGGGGAUAACAGCCGCCACUUGUGUAGGUUUGCAGGUACCGUUCGAAUAAGGGCCGGCUAAUUCCGUGCCAGCAGCCGCGGUAAUACGGAGGACCCGAGCGUUUUCCGGAUUUAUUGGGUUUAAAGGGAGCGUAGGCGGGUUGUUAAUUCAGGUGUUAAAGUUGGCGGCUCAACCGCAAAAUUGCAGUUGAUACUGGCAUCCUUGAGUACACUAGAGGUAGGCGGAAUUCGUGGUGUAGCGGUGAAAUGCUUAGAUAUCACGAAGAACUCCGAUUGCGAAGGCAGCCUGCCGGAGUGUAACUGACGCUGAGGCUCGAAAGUGUGGGUAUCAAACAGGAUUAGAUACCCCAGUAGUC
rnacentral:rRNA from 1 species